UACGGAGGGUGCAAGCGUUAUCCGGAUUCACUGGGUUUAAAGGGUGCGUAGGUGGGAUAGUAAGUCAGUGGUGAAAUCUCCGGGCUUAACCCGGAAACUGCCAUUGAUACUAUUUGUCUUGAAUACUGUGGAGGUCAGCGGAAUAUGUCAUGUAGCGGUGAAAUGCUUAGAUAUGACAUAGAACACCAAUUGCGAAGGCAGCUGGCUACACAAAUAUUGACACUGAGGCACGAAAGCGUGGGGAUCAAACAGG
rnacentral:rRNA from 1 species